CCACCUCAGGCAGGCUGAGCAAAUUUGAGCUGAGAUGAUCAUUAGUGUCUGGCUUUCCCAGAGCAGAAUGUGAUCUCUGAUUUAGCCCAGGUGAAGCAGGAAGCAGAAAAUAGGGCCGUGGGAAGAACACCUCCGGUUCUGCACCAGGGAAAGCUGCUCUGGGGUGUCUGCCAACACCCAGGUCUUCCCUCUGACCCUCAUUGGCCGGUCGAGGGGUCUCUCCGCUCCGCUGUGAUCCUCAGAGGCUGAGACUGUCCUGUGCAGCUAUUGGUUGCUUUGUGCUGAGCGGAGGACUCUGUGGUUGUUGGAAAGCAGUAUUAAAAGCCAAGGAGUGUCUCCGGUUGCAAGACUCCCCAGGCAUUAGCCCUCACUCCACUUCACGUCAGCCCAGGGAGUCCCUCCGUCUUCCUGGCCGAUGCACCUCGGACCGGCGACACACAGAGAUGAGCAUGUCCAGACUGCCCAGAGUGAGCAGAUUAAAGCAGUUUUGGAGGACCAAAGCAACUGCUCUCAGCUCUUGA
rnacentral:lncRNA from 1 species